CCGUAGUUCAUUUUAAAGAUGCUUGUUAUCAUCGGCCACAUUUGGGAGUCACUCAUCUACUAGCCGGAGAAGGCAAUGGCAGCCCACUCCAGUACUCUUGCCUGGAAAAUCCCAUGGAUGGAGGAGCCUGGUGGGCUGCAGUCCAUGGGUCACUAAGAGUCAGACGGCUGAGCGACUUCACUUUCACUUUUCACUUUCAGGCAUUGGAGAAGGAAAUGGCAACCCACUCCAGUGUUCUUGCCUGGAGAAUCCCAGGGACGGGGGAGCCUGUUGGGCUGCCGUCUAUGGGGUCGCACAGAGUUGGACACGACUGAAGCGACUUAGCAGCAGCAGCAUCUACUAGCCUCUCUUUACUUGCUCAAACCACAACACCAGACAACCUCCAUUUACAGAGUAUAAAAGUGAGAUUGGAAGAGAUUCAUAAUGUGACGGCAGAGGUGUCUGUGAGGAGCAGUGCCGAGAAGACUGGGACUGCGCGGCAGGAGAGAAGUGCAUCGGCAAUGGCUGUGGCCACGUGUGCUCACCAGCCCCGCCAGCAAAUUUCCUACUAUGACUAAUAGUAAAUAACACUAUGCGAAGUCGAU
ensembl:lncRNA